CCUACGGGUGGCAGCAGUGGGGAAUAUUGCACAAUGGGGGAAACCCUGAUGCAGCGACGCCGCGUGAGUGAAGAAGCGCCUCGGCGCGUAAAGCUCUGUCAGCAGGAACGACGAUGACGGUACCUGAAGAAGAAGCCCCGGCUAACUACGUGCCAGCAGCCGCGGUAAUACGGUGGAUGCGAGCGUUAUCCGGAUUUAUUGGGUUUAAAGGGUGCGUAGGCGGAAGGUUAAGUCAGCGGUCAAAUGUCGGUGCUCAACACCGGCCUGACGUUGAAACUGGUCUUAUUGAGUGAGCGAGAAGUAUGCGGAAUGCGUGGUGUAGCGGUGAAAUGCAGAGAUAUCACGCAGAAUUCCGAUUGCGAAGGCAGCAUACCGGCGCUCAACUGACGCUGAGGCACGAAAGCGUGGGGAUCGAACAGGAUUAGAUACCCCGGUAGUC
rnacentral:rRNA from 1 species